rnacentral:rRNA from 1 species
UACGUAGGGUGCGAGCGUUGUCCGGAAUUAUUGGGCGUAAAGAGCUUGUAGGCGGUUUGUCGCGUCUGCUGUGAAAAUCCGGGGCUCAACCCCGGACUUGCAGUGGGUACGGGCAGACUAGAGUGUGGUAGGGGAGACUGGAAUUCCUGGUGUAGCGGUGAAAUGCGCAGAUAUCAGGAGGAACACCUAUGGCGAAGGCAGGUCUCUGGGCCACUACUGACGCUGAGAAGCGAAAGCAUGGGGAGCGAACAGG